UUGUAAGCCCCAAGUCUGCCCUGGUGACCAGGUCCCAAGCGAGGCCUGGAAGGAAGGUGGGCCCAGGACUAGCUCACCCGAUGGAAAGGCCCUUACACAACCCUUUUAACCACACCCUGGGCCAGUAAGGUACCAGGAAUUGUUAGUUGGAUUUGCCCCUCCAGGGUAAAACCCAAGCUGCCUGAGACACCAGAAAAUGAAAAAGAGAGAACACAAACCUUGAACACCUGUGAGCCAUGGAACGACCUCAAGUUUCCUUUCAGAAAAGAAAACACCAACCAACCUGUUCAGCCACAUAGCUACCUAGGAAAUUGGCAGACAGCCUAGACAAACUUACCAGGGUAUUGUCAUCCAUCAAGAUCAAACCGAUUCGCUAGCAGCUGUGGCCAUAUAAUAUGUAGAGCUCUAGAUCUCCUAACCCUCUAAACAGAGGAGUUAUGUUUGUCUCUGAAAGAAGAAUGUGGUUCCUAUGUCAGUCCAUCUGAAACAGUGAGAGAUGUAACACAGGAGCUGGCUGACCAUGCUUCUAAGAUCUGUGAAGAACUGAGUCAUGGAUGUCCUGGCCAAGUAUCUGGAAUUGGGAUUUUGGUUACUGUCCUAGAUAGACAUGGUUAUUAUUAAUGCUUCUUAUAACCUUACUCUUACAUACUUGAGAUCUUACAUACUUAAUCUCUUAGUCAAAUUUGUUCUUGUUUACCAGCCAUUAAACUACUGGUGAUGGCCCAAGCCCAAGAUCAAAACCUGGCUCCAUGUCCACAGCUCAUCAGAAUAUCCUGGGAGGAGAAACACGUCUCUCUUGAACUCUUAUAUCAGAAGGGGGAGAGUUCCUUCACCCCCCCGAGGUAGGGCCAGUGUCCCUACUGAGCAGGAAGCAUCCAUGGAAGACAGACCUUCCUCCUUCAGCACCCCUUGAAGAUUUUUGGGGACCAGGACUCUCAGAGGGUAAUAGUGCAAGAAGCACAAGGGGGCUGGGAGACCACUUGCCUCUACCCCAUUGAGUUUGGGCAAGACCCAGGGCAAAUGCUCCUCCCUUGUUCCAAGUCACCUGGCAGGGUAAGCCCUGGAAAGCACACUUGUAGGAAGCCCCAACUCAGGAUGACUCAGCCCUCUCUUAGUCAUUCCUGUCAAUCCUACCUAGAAACCAGUGAGAGGUACCUGGGCUGGGGCUCCUCCUUAAAAAAAAAUUCGAAAGCCUGAUUUUAUCUCCGUGUGUGCUGUCUACUUCUCUGUCAUCCCAGCACCAUUUUUCUGUUUGUGCCACGAUUUUCUUGGCACAGAGCUGUCCUGAGCAAGGUUUCCCUUUAUCUUCAACAAAUGCAAAUGCUUUUCUUUUAUCACUGGAUGUACACUUGCAGUUUUUUGCUCAUCCUACACAAGACCCUGGAAUCUGUUUGUUGGAUCCAGCCCACGACAUCAACUGCAGGUGUGCAUGUGCUUGGAGGUCAGGAGCCUCCUGCAGAGCAUAAGUUAGCAGUCUCACUGCAGGGCUUCCAGUAUGCAAAGCAGCAUGCAAGGGAGAGGAUGAGCAAGUGGCACCAGGGCAAGGAGAAACGGCCUGGCUUCAGGUUCAAUGGGAGUGGGCGGCCCGCAGAUCCAGUCCCAGCACUCGGUGGGGUUGGUGAAGUGCUCGGCCUGGGCCGGCGCUGAAACCCAGCACAGGAGGCUGAGAAAUACUUAAGCUCCAACGUUGCUCACCUAGUGGAUCAGUGUGUAAGGAUGUGCUAACAAAAUACCAGUCUAAGUGGUUUAAACAGUAGAAAUUGGUUUUCUCUCAAUUCUGGAGGCCAGAAGCCCAAGGUCAAGGCAUUGGCAAGCCUGGGUUCUUCUGGGGCAGCUUUUUGGAUAGCAAACAACUGCCACCUCCCUGUAUCCUCACAAUCAGCCCUCCAGUCUGUGGUACCUGUUCCCUGCUCUUUUCUUUUGAAGACGCUAGGACACUCGAGUAGGUCCACCCAUAGCACCUGGUCUACCACGACUGUAUCUCAGAGGCCUGACCUCCAAAUGUAGUCACAUCCCGAGGUGCCUGGGAGUCAUGAUUUCAACAGAAGAAUCCCAGCAGCAAGAUCCAGUGACCAGAACAAGGCUCGGGCUGGACUGCUCAGUCUACCUCAGCUCUAGGCAAAGCAGGAGAACAAAACAUAUUUUUGUUUGUGUAGAAGGGAAGAAUGUUCACUGUAAAUUUCAGUAUUUUAAAAAACAUCAAAGCAGUCGUCACAGAAGAAAACAAUUUUAUUGUAUUUUCUUAUAUUAAUGACAACAGAGAAUUUUCAACUGGUCUCUAUAGAAAAGUUCUAAACCAAAACACCAUGUAUAUAGCCAUACUGAUUGCAAACUGGUAAGAACAUGAUCAGAGUUCUCCAGGUCUCAGUUUCCAUAAAUGUCCCCAUAAAUUCUAGCUCUUUUUCUUUUCUCACAGCUCAAUAGAACUAGAUACUGACAGGUACAAAUUAAAUUAGUGAAAAAUAAAACAGAAAUAAAUGGUUCAAAAGCAACAUAGAAUAUAUCUUAAGCUAUCAAUGCCAACCAAAUCACAAUAAAAUAUACUUUCCUGGCAUUGCAUUAGUAUGUUAUAAAAACAUUAAAAGAAUAGAGGUGGUUCCUUUCAUUUCUGUGCAAUGGUGAAAUCUCCCUGAGCACCAAACAUUGUCAAGUUUAAACAUUUGCUAUUGCCAUAGAAGUGUGAUGUUGACAUUUUUGGUUGCUAGGAGUGUCAUAGCCAUGGAUAUGGAUACAAUAGCAUUCUGUUGGCUCUGAUGUGGGAAUUGUUAAUCAGCAGGAUUCUUUUUUCAUAUGCUGGUCCAGUAAUAGAAAGUACAGAUUUACCAUGCAAAGCAU
rnacentral:lncRNA from 1 species